GGGGAUGUAGCUCAGCUGGCUAGAGUGCUUGACUGGCAGUCAAGAGGUCGUGGGUUCGAGUCCCAUCUUCUCCACCA
rnacentral:tRNA from 1 species